AGCGGCGUGUGCGUGUGCCGAGACCGCCUCCUCCACCCGCCCUCCCGGCCGCGCCGCCCGGCGGGCAGUAGGGCCCCGCCCCGCCCUGCCGCUGCCCGCGGGGCCGCCGCUGCCCUCCCACGGCCCGGCCCGGCCCACCGCUCGCCUGAGGGGCCGCCGUGCCCGCCCCGCUGCCGGCAGGGCCGCGCCGCGCCGCGCCGCCGCCGUGGCACGGCUGGGGUGCCCGGGACUGCCGGUCCGGCGGCGCUACCGCAAGUCUACAGUCCUCCGGUGAGGGCGGGGGAAAUGCUGUGCGUGCGGGCACAACCUACAAAACCACAGGCAAGCGAGAAGAGCGUCGGCACGGCAGGGCGUUACACCUUACAAAUCCCAGACGACGGCUUGCGAGGGGAAGUUUUACCUACGGCAUUGCAAAAGACAUCUGCAUCCGGUGUAAAUGGGCUGAAAGGACGAAUGUUUCAGGCAUGCAAACCACUCCACUGAAUCGGGUUAUCCCAAGUGUACCAUUUGAGAGCCAUCCCAAGUGUAUAAUUUUAAUACAAAACAGACUGCCUAGCCUUCUACCAUACUGUCUCUGCAUCUGCUAACACUUGCGUGGAAUCUGAAGAGAAGAAAAACAAAGAAAUGCUAUGUAAAUAAGCACUUCAAAAUGUCUAGCAUAUGUUAUGAUUAAAAAACAUGAGCUACCGGGUCCAUGGAGCAGGCAUAGUUACUUAUGUCUUGUCAACCUUUUUCCUAGUGGGAAAUGGAAUAAUGUUCGUUUUGCAUUCAUAACUGUUUCAUACACUUAAGAAAGGGAAUAUAAAUCCUGAUAGGAAAUGGCAGGGAGCAGGAAGGGGGAGUGGGGUCACUCCAUAGUGGGAGUGAGCAAGGAGCCGAACGUGACUCCAGCAGAGGCAAUGCUGUCCCCUGAGGAGCAGUCCCAGAGCACCUGUGUAGGUGACACCGACCGGUUCUGCUGACAGCCCCCCACAAACUGAGAUAACACGUCAGGGCUGGGGUCCAUGCAGAGACCCAGUGGGGAGCAGCAGGAGCCAGCACCAGGCCUGAAGACAAGGCUGGGACACAUACUUAGGGCUCAUCCACGAGGUAGGGCUGGAGACAAGCCACCUGCAAUGUCCCCAUCCAGUAUUCCUGCCACACAUUGAAAGAUGGUGGUGACAUGGGGACCUAAGUUCUUUGAGGUUAUGUGACAGCUAGAGCUGGACAAAAAGGCACUGUGUGAAGAAGAGAUUAGAAUAAGAUAUUGUAGGCUUGCAACAAAUGACUGGUUUGUUUAGGACCACUGAAUCUGGUUAUUUCUAUGCCAUUUUUUUCCAGAGCGAUCUCACUAUCCAGGUACAUUUUCACCUGAAGAAACAACACAUUGUAUCAGGCACAACAGGAAAUAUCCCAAAGGGAGAGUCUGUGCCGUGACAGUCUGCAUGCCGUUGUCACACCACAACCGCAUUUUCCAGGAGGAGCCCUCUCCUUUGCUACACUGCUACCCCAGCACAGCUAUUCCACAUCUCCCACGCCAGGACAACAGGCCAGUCUUCGCAUUGACAUUUAUUCUAUAGCAUUAGAAAUUAUCAGCCUUACACAGGCUGCAUAUCACAUUGGUAAACUGAGGACCAAAUUGAAAGAUGCAGUGUUUAAAACAACUUUUAUCCAAGGCUUCUGUAGGGGACUAUGGUAUGUAACCAGGAAUAGGGUUGAGCUGACACAUGUACUGCUGAGUAAUCCAAAUCCGAGACUGAAUAAAAAGAGCUAGCCAGCAAGGAGUUCUGAGGCCAACAUCACUGGGUUACUUAAAACCAUUCAUAUAUUGUGCUUCUCUCUGCAGCAGGGUCCCUCAGAGAGCUACUAUCACAUCUGGACUGGGAAUCACUCCCAAUUUGGCCCUCAGGAGCGUGGCUGUGAGCCAGGAGAGAUAAAUCAGAAAUUAAAACCUUCAGGAGCAGCUGCUGGGUUAAGCAAGGUCAUAAGGAAAGAAAACCAAGGACCUUUCUGCAAGCUAGAAGAAAAUCAUCAUUCUUGUGACAAAGCUUCCAUCCUGUGCCUUGGGUGCAAAACCCUGACCAAGCAAAACCUUUCAGAGCCUCACGAUUCAGUUUACCCAGGCCCUGCAGGCAGCUCACAUGCAUCCUCACAUGGUGCAGCAAAAUAAAGGAAGCAUAGGUAUAAACUGAGUAAAAAACACCCAAAUGAAUAAGUGCUCCAAAGACAUCUCUGCACUAGUGCUCUCAAUGGUACAAGAUGAUUAGAUAACUGGCAAGAUUAGCCCAGAGUUGACUUUCUACUUAAAUAGAUAUAUGAGUCCAGAUGGCCUUGAAUAGCUGUUUAUCCAGCGUCACUGCAUAGAACAAGCAUGACCUGAGAAGCACAAGGAAUGCAGCUCCCUCUCUGCAGUCACUAGGAGCUGGAGAGGCUCAGUCUUCAGUGGCCAUUUAUCUCCUUGCUGCAGCAGAACACAGUACGGGGCAGCUCUUCAGACAGUCCCUGUGCCCCAGGCCAAUUAUUCUCCUCCAAUACUGGAGAUCCAAGACCCUGCACAGCAGGUUGCGCAGAACAGAACUGCAAGGGAACAGCAACAGAUGAGCAAUGAGCAAAGACUUGCUUUUGCUUCAAGAUCCAAGCCAGCACCACUACACAACCAUAGAGGGCUCUUCGUUAUCAUUUGUGGCCAUUAGAAGAUGGGAAGUUGGUUAGUGCCAUCCCUACCAUCCUGCAGGAAGGGAAAAGCAGAGGUGUCUCCAACUCCAGGGAAUUCUUCCAAGUUGUCUGUCCUCUGCAUAUCCCACACCUUGCAGUGCCUUCAGCCAUAGUCAGAUGCCAAAUACUGUAUGUCAGUGCAGUUGACUGCUCGCCAGUUCCUUCAAUAAAGCAUGCAGUUUUCUCCUAAAAAAACUUGCGAAUAUUUUUAUGAGAAUGCAGGCUAAACUUGUCCUUUAAAUUUUAAGUUCUAGAAGAAAUUAGGAUCACUAAUUGUUCUUUCCAGCAAUCUUCUCUUCUACACGAUGAGUUGAGCCCAAAGCGAAGAUCAGUCACCCCCAGGCCUCUGAAGACAUAUGUAACCACACCGACCCUUUGCAGUAACAGGCUACUUUUCCCUAAUCCCCCACCCAGCUUCACUUACACAGCAACUUAAUUUUUGAAACCUCAUAUACGCACAAACAUGGCAUGCUGCUUGCACCGAUCACCUGCUGAAAGACCAAGUGUCUCAGUGUUAUUUUGCUGGAAAUGCUGUAAUGUUAGCUCAUCUGAAUAUUUAUAUUUUGCUGUCUUAUGUUCCUCACAUCUGUUUGUGGAAGGAUACAAUCAGCACAUCCAAACCCAGCAUCAACUUCCAUAUACAAUGCAAAGCUCAACAAUCCCUGGACUCACAAGGUUUGCUGGCAAGAUUCCUUAUUCCUUUUCUACUCCCCUACCAGUUAUACUACCAUUUUCUAGGAAAUGUACUUCCAUUUUCAUUAGGAAAUAACUAGUGCAAAGCAUCUACAGAUAGGUGAUUUGUGACUUCUGAGUAUAAUAUUAAAUAUCUGUAUCUCAAACACCCAGAAUCUUUUACCAUCAAAGAACUUUACAAGCAUCAGUAAUAAACCCCCCGUGGGACAGGAGUGGGUACUAUACUGCUAGGUUAGACCUGAAGGCAGGUGGCCCCAGGUGCCCUUUGGCUGAUAGAAAGGGCUGUUCUGACAGUAUUACAUUUUAGCAAGCCAUCAAUGAUCUUCACAAUUAUUUAGAACCUCCUUUCUAUGGUAGGUCCUAAUGGGUUAAAAAGCAAGCCUGGGUUUUAUUAUGAAGGCUUUAUAACUUUAUAUAAAACAAACCAAAAAUCUCAAGCACACAGAAGGAAGAGCACUCGGGGCUUGGGUGAGAUGAACAAGAGAAAAACCAAUGUCAAUUUUCAGCUGAUUGUGGUAUUUCAACAGUGGUGGGGCACUUUAUCGCUAUCGCUCGGGGGAGACAGCACUGCAAAACCAUAAAAACCUAGAGGGAAUACCCUCAAGGAGAUAAAGGAGCAAUGUUUUAAGAGCUGUGGCAUGGUACGUCACACACAAUUGGCCAGAGCACAAGAAGAGAGGAGAGCUCGAGAGUGAAGACGGUUGUAACUACAUCUCCAAGCAAGCCCUUAGUCUCCAUAGGUAGCAACCACAACUCUGAUCUACCCUUUUACAUCAGUCUGUACACAGCAGUCCAUCUCUUACCUCCUGACUAGUCCAGCUAGCAGGAAAAACUCCAUGACUACCCAAACAAAAUGUUAGCUAUAUGAAUAUGUUGAAAGAAGAUAUUCAAGUAGCUCCUGCUUCCCUGGAUUAGCUUUAUCAGCUUAUUCAGCGUGGAUUGCUAAUGCUUCAUUUGUGUGGUUACCCACUCACAUCCACACCACACAGGCACGGUGUUUACAGACAGCCCUGCUGGCAACCUGCAAGUAAUUUAAAGAUGAUGGUUGGAAAUUAUUUUCCAUUUUUAACUGUAACUGUCUGGUAAUUAUGUACCUCUCGCUUCCUUUCUCCUUAACACAGGUGCACAUAGUGCUAGCAACUUCGUCAGAGAUUUAGCCCCAACUCUAAUCCCACCAUGUCCAAAGGCAGCUGUCUCACGUUUCUGCACUACUGAUCGCAGCCAUCAAACCCAGACCAUCUUCCACAUAAAUUCAAUAAGAGUGGUAAAAGUCUACCGAACCCUUGGCACUUGCCCUCUCUUCUGGGUAAAAAAUCUACUUUGGGGUCAGUUAAAGAAUUUUAUAUGUUAAUAAGUUGGGAAGGGGAAAAGUGUUGAGAGUUAAUUUGUUUCCAGGCAGGCUGUUCCUCCCCUGUCCUGGCUGGAGAUAGGAACUUCGCGCUGAAAGGUUUGUUUACAGGGCUGACACCUCUUCAGAAAGGAUGGAGCAGUGGAGUUCUGAAUUCACCACCUCUCUCUGUAGUGGUGUUUGAUAGCUUUGCCACUUUACAGCCAUGCUGCUGGUAUGCACUUCACACCAGAGAAGUCUGGUACAGCGAGAGCUUGAGCCACUCAUUCAUCCAUGCUCCCUGUGAAAGUCCAAAAAAAAAAGUAUUUGUUCAGGUUUUUACAUGCACUGGCAUGCUUGUUCAGGAAGUGUCAAAGAAGCAAGGAGCCCUGAGCUGUCCCCUGUGGUACAAAGAUAUCCUAACACCACAGCUGCCUUUAAGGAAGAGCUCCUUUUGCUUCAGAGAGCUCUUGUGGUACAAGCUGGAAGUCUGAGGUCUGACUGGAUUAAGUUUUGCUACAGCAAUCCUGAGACCAAACUGCCCUGACUAGGCUUCAAGCACUCAGAUAAACUCAACUAAUUACAUGAGUGUGGUGGGAAGGGAGAAAGCUUUCCGUGCCACCAGAGAAGAACAAACAGAAUAAGAAGCAAAAGACAUCUAUGCACUGCAGUAAGGUUCAGAAAAGUUUGGAUGCACCUGAAAAAUAAGUGCACAGACUCUGUAUUUUAAAGUAUUUAUUGCAGUUUUGAAAUGGGAACAGACAGAAAUAACACUUGAGGGCAGAAGUCAGGAAUUUUCGAUGUGGGGCAGUACCUGACCCUUGCGCAAAACUAGACUAUAAACCUUUUUGUCCCCUGCUCCAAGCAGCAGCCUGAACAUACAAAGGGGAGAAUAAACACCCAAGAAAAAGAUCCCUAAUUCCCCUCCUGCUUCAGAUCAGAAUUAGAACAGGAAACUUCAGGGAGCAAGGACAACAUCAAUUUGACACAGGUUAGCAGCAGCAGCUCUGGCCUCCUCUUCGCAGGGACGGUCACACCCCAGUCAAAGCCCUGAGGACACUGUGCAGAGAAUCCACAACAUGAGCACUAGCAUGACACUCCUUCCAGCAUGCUCCCUGAGCCCAGCUCUUCUUUGUGCUAUGGCUUACAAAGUCAGAGCCUUACAUUCUGGGAGGUUACACCUCCCCCUCCACCCUUUUCAGAGAGAUAGAAGGACAGGCUGUGGUCCAUACCGUCCUGCAUCAAGGCAAGCUCUGAUCUGCACAGAGGUGCAAGCCAGGAGUAACUCUGGGACUAACCCCUGGAGACAGAUGUGCAGCAGCAGCUGCCAGGAAAAGCCACCUGCUUCGAACUGUACAAUGCAAUGGAUCAUCAGCCUCUUACGCAUGUGAUGCAGUAAGAAAGAAGAGGAAGUCCUGACCCAUCUGGUGCCCGCACAAGUUUCUAGUAUGUUAAGAAACUUCCUGGGGGCUGCGUGGCCAACCAAGUGCGGUCAAUGGGAGCCUGCAAAUCCUAAUGACUUAAAACUGAAAAGAGACUGUUUUCCGCCACAAUUUUGCUCUUGCGCACAUCAGUUCUCUGAUGACCCCUUCCUACACCAAGCACCACGCAGAGGGAAACUGAGAGUAUACCAACUACAUCAGCCAGCGGCUACGCAGCAAAAGCUCUGGCACAGAGUCCUUGCAGGGCUUGCAUGGGCAAUGGAGGACUAGAAACAAGUACUUGUGAGGACACCGUUCUCCUGUCUCUUCAUCAAAUACUCUCUGGGUUUUUACUUCUCAGGUAACAUUUCAUGUUGGACCAAAGCUGUACAGUAUAUUAAAUUCCUUCUGCAGGGAUUUUGUCUGAUCUGGUUUUGCUGCCAGGGUAGUUUUAAGAAGGCAUACAGUCUGCAUACAAUGCAAAGUGGAGUCAUUCAGAUACACUCUGUUCCCUUCAGAGCCAAGAGGAAUGAGAGCAAGAGUAUAGGAGCUUAAAAGCUUCCACUCUGGCAGAAAGAAAAUUUCUCACAGUGCAGGUACUGCCUGCAGGUACAGCUAUCUUUCCA